AGUGAACGCUGGCGGCGUGCCUAACACAUGCAAGUCGAACGGACGAAGAGAGCUUGCUCUCCUAGUUAGUGGCGCACGGGUGAGUAACACGUAGCUAACCUGCCCCAUAGUAAGGGACAACAGUUGGAAACGACUGCUAAUACCUUAUACUCCUUCUCUACCUAAGUAGAGUCGGGAAAGUUUUUUCGCUAUGGGAUGGGGCUGCGGCCCAUCAGCUUGUUGGGGAGGUAAUGGCUCACCAAGGCUAUGACGGGUAGCUGGUCUGAGAGGAUGAUCAGCCACAUUGGAACUGAGACACGGUCCAAACUCCUACGGGAGGCAGCAGUGGGGAAUUUUACACAAUGGGCGAAAGCCUGAUGUAGCAACGCCGCGUGGAGGAUGAAGGAUUUAGGUUCGUAAACUCCUUUUAUAAGGGAAGAAAUUUGACGGUACCUUAUGAAUAAGCACCGGCUAACUCCGUGCCAGCCGCCGCCGUAA
rnacentral:rRNA from 1 species